rnacentral:rRNA from 1 species
CCUACGGGCGGCAGCAGUGGGGAAUAUUGGACAAUGGGGGCAACCCUGAUCCAGCCAUGCCGCGUGUGUGAAGAAGGCCCUCGGGUUGUAAAGCACUUUCAGUGAGGAAGAACGCCUGGUGGUUAAUACCCAUCAGGAAAGACAUCACUCACAGAAGAAGCACCGGCUAACUCCGUGCCAGCAGCCGCGGUAAUACGGAGGGUGCGAGCGUUAAUCGGAAUUACUGGGCGUAAAGCGCGCGUAGGUGGCUUGAUAAGCCGGUUGUGAAAGCCCCGGGCUCAACCUGGGAACGGCAUCCGGAACUGUCAAGCUAGAGUGCAGGAGAGGAAGGUAGAAUUCCCGGUGUAGCGGUGAAAUGCGUAGAGAUCGGGAGGAAUACCAGUGGCGAAGGCGGCCUUCUGGACUGACACUGACACUGAGGUGCGAAAGCGUGGGUAGCAAACAGGAUUAGAUACCCCGGUAGUU